GAUGAACGCUGGCGGCGUGCCUAAUACAUGCCAGUCGAGCGAACGGACGAGAAGCUUGCUUCUCUGAUGUUAGCGGCGGACGGGUGAGUAACACGUGGAUAACCUACCUAUAAGACUGGGAUAACUUCGGGAAACCGUAGCUAAUACCGGAUAAUAUUUUGAACCGCAUGGUUCAAAAGUAAAAGACGGUCUUGCUGUCACUUAUAGAUGGAUCCGCGCUGCAUUAGCUAGUUGGUAAGGUAACGGCUUACCAAGGCAACGAUGCAUAGCCGACCUGAGAGGGUGAUCGGCCACACUGGAACUGAGACACGGUCCAGACUCCUACGGGAGGCAGCAGUAGGGAAUCUUCCGCAAUGGGCGAAAGCCUGACGGAGCAACGCCGCGUGAGUGAUGAAGGUCUUCGGAUCGUAAAACUCUGUUAUUAGGGAAGAACAUAUGUGUAAGUAACUGUGCACAUCUUGACGGUACCUAAUCAGAAAGCCACGGCUAACUACGUG
rnacentral:rRNA from 1 species